AUGAAUAAAUUGCCGGCGGCGGCUCUUCCUUCUUUGUGGCUUAAUCAGAGACUUUUAAGUCGACGGCGAGCAGAGGUAGUUUUCUCAGAUGGAGGUUCGUUGGUGGAUCUACAAUGGGGAACUAUAACUCUCGACGACGGCAGCAGAUCUGGUGGAUUUCUUCGUCAGUCUCUUCGCGGAGGUACCUCUCCUCCGAUGAGCCUCUUUGGUGGCGGCGGCUCAGUGUUAAGAAGGGACAGAGGUAGGCGAAUCGUGGUUUUUCGAGCUUGGCUGUGAAGAUCCUAUCGAUCCCGGGCAGAUUUACAUGAUUCAAGGCUUUCUAGCUAUGCUGCCGCCAACGACUCCCGACAGAGAAUAAAUUAGAUGUAGGGGAGAUAAGAAAACCAUUUGGAUUGUAGAAGAAGAAGGAAAGCUCUCCAUUAAUGCCCCGGCUUCAAGAAAUUUUUGUCUCAGCCCGGUUAAUCCGGUUGAGUAUCAGUCGGAUUAGUAUGUCCGUUUUAGGCUUAGGACCGGAAUAGUGAAAGCCGAGGAGUCAAAACCCUUCUGAAGUUGCGCUUUUGGCGUAGAUGCUAUUAGGACACGCUCUACACUCGGAUCAUGAGGGACUAAUAGCUUGGAAUUGGUUUGGAUCUCAGGAGAGGAUUUGAUUUUCUUUGUGUUAGUAAUUGUUUUCGUGUCAUUGGGUGAAUUUAGGUGGUUUAAGAGAUGAUUUCACUUAGAGUCGUGGUGUAAUUCAUCUCGUUGUGGUUGGAAAAUACAAUGAUUUUCAGUUGGGUAGCGUUGGAUCCGUUAGUGUUUCAGGGUUUUAUUUGACUAAAUCAUUGUAUUUGAGUGAAGUUUGUCGAGGUCAAAUGAUUUGUAAUAUCGAUUUGGUGAAUGAAUAGUUGAUGUUGAGCAAAAAAAAAAAAAAAAAAAAAAAAAAAAA